AGUGAACGCUGGCGGUAGGCCUAACACAUGCAAGUCGAACGGCAGCACAGUAAGAGCUUGCUCUUACGGGUGGCGAGUGGCGGACGGGUGAGGAAUACAUCGGAAUCUACUUUUUCGUGGGUGAUAACGUAGGGAAACUUACGCUAAUACCGCAUACGACCUACGGGUGAAAGCAGGAGAUCUUCGGACCUUGCGCGACUGAAUGAGCCGAUGUCGGAUUAGCUAGUUGGCGGGGUAAAGGCCCACCAAGGCGACGAUCCGUAGCUGGUCUGAGAGGAUGAUCAGCCACACUGGAACUGAGACACGGUCCAGACUCCUACGGGAGGCAGCAGUGGGGAAUAUUGGACAAUGGGCGCAAGCCUGAUCCAGCCAUACCGCGUGGGUGAAGAAGGCCUUCGGGUUGUAAAGCCCUUUUGUUGGGAAAGAAAAGCAGCAGGUUAAUACCCCGCUGUUCUGACGGUACCCAAAGAAUAAGCACCGGCUAACUUCGUG
rnacentral:rRNA from 1 species